AGCCCACUACGCCUGGAACGGUGAGUGGGUCAAAGCUCCGGCGGCAUAGGAUGGGCCUGCGCCGUAUCAGGUUGUAGGGGGUGUAAAGUACCCUCUAGCCAUCAACGCGUACGGGUGUUGGGAGACAUUGCCCGGAGAUGGAUUCUGAGACACGAAUCCAGACCCUACGGGGUGCAGCAGGCGCGAAAACUUGGCAAUGCGAGCAAUCGUGACCAGGGAACUCCAAGUGCGUAGGGUAAGACCUACGCUUUUCUUGACUCUUCAAAGGUCUUGGAAUAAGGGGUGGGUAAGGACGGUGCCAGCCGCCGCGGUAAUACCGGCGCCUCAAGUGGUAGUCGCUUUUAUUGGGCCUAAAACGUCCGUAGCCGGUCUGGUACAUUCGUGGGUAAAUCAACCCGCUCAACGGGUUGAAUUCUGCGAGCACGGCCAGACUUGGGACCGGGAGAGGUGUGGGGUACUCUCAGGGUAGGGGUAAAAUCCUGUCAUCCUGAGAGGACCACCUGUUGCGAAGGCGCCACACUAGAACGGAUCCGACGGUCAGGGACGAAACCUAGGGGCACGAACCGGAUUAGAUACCCGGGUAGUCCUAGGUGUAAACGCUGUGGACUUGAUGUUGGGGGCGCUCCGAGCGCUUUCAGUGUCGAAGCGAAGGUGAUAAGUCCACUGCCUGGGGAGUACGGUCGCAAGGCUGAAACUUAAAGGAAUUGGCGGGGGAGCACUGCAACCUGAGGAUUGUGCGGUUUAAUUGGACUCAACGCCGGGA
rnacentral:rRNA from 1 species